GAUGAAGAACGCAGUGAAAUGCGAUACGUAAUGUGAAUUGCAGAAUUCAGUGAAUCAUCGGGUCUUUGAACGCACAUUGCGCCCCCUGGUAUUCCGGGGGGCAUGCCUGUCCGAGCGUCAUUGCUGCCCUCAAGCACGGCUUGUGUGUUGGGCCUCCGUCCUCCUCCCGGGGGACGGGCCCGAAAGGCAGCGGCGGCACCGCGUCCGGUCCUCGAGCGUAUGGGGCUUCGUCACCCGCUCUUGUAGGCCCGGCCGGCGCUUGCCGACACAUCAAUCUUUUUUCCAGGUUGACCUCGGAUCAGGUAGGGAUACCCGCUGAACUUAAGCAUAUCAAUAAGCGGAGGA
rnacentral:misc_RNA from 1 species